CUUUCCCUAGUACGAAAAGACCAGGAAAGACGCACCUCUAGUCUGCCAGUUAUCGUGCCAACGGUAAACGCUGGGUAGCUAAGUGUGA
rnacentral:ncRNA from 1 species